AUGACUGAGAGCUGUCCUUCAUGACAACAGAACCCACAACAACCAUGACUUUUAUCACCAUCUUCAUCUGGACACUUGUUUCCUGCUUUCAAGCCAGAGGACAGUACGUUCUGACACAGACUCCUGCAGUGAAAGCUGUUGUCCCAGGACAGCAAGUCUCUCUGAACUGUAAAACCAGCAGUGAUGUGUAUAAUGAUAACUGUCUAGCCUGGUACCAACAGAAACCUGGAGGAGCUCCUAAACUCCUUAUUUACUAUGCUACAACACUUCAGUCUGGGACUCCAUCUAGAUUCAGUGGCAGUGGAUCUAGGAGUGACUUCACUCUGACCAUCAGUAGAGUCCAGGCUGAAGAUGCAGGAGAUUACUACUGUCAGAGUUUACACUAUCCCAAUAGUAAAGAUGUGUUCACACAGUGA